rnacentral:piRNA from 1 species
UGACAGGAAGGCCAGAUGCUUAUGAUGU